rnacentral:rRNA from 1 species
GGGCCCGCACAAGCGGUGGAGCAUGUGGUUUAAUUCGAUGAUACGCGAGGAACCUUACCAGGGCUUAAAUGUAGUGGGACAGGUCUAGAGAUAGACCCUUCUUCGGACUACUUACAAGGUGCUGCAUGGUUGUCGUCAGCUCGUGCCGUGAGGUGUCAGGUUAAGUCCUAUAACGAGCGCAACCCCUGUUGUUAGUUGCCAUCGAGUCAUGUCGGGAACUCUAACAAGACUGCCGGUGCAAACCGUGAGGAAGGUGGGGAUGACGUCAAAUCAUCACGGCCCUUACGUCCUGGGCUACACACGUGCUACAAUGGCCGGUACAGAGAGCAGCCACUUCGCAAGAAGGAGCGAAUCUAUUAAAACCGGUCUCAGUUCGGAUCGGAGUCUGCAACUCGACUCCGUGAAGCUGGAAUC